rnacentral:misc_RNA from 1 species
GCAUUUUGCAGCCAGGUUGCACCACCUUGGUGCAUUUUUUUCACUUGUGAAUAAAAAUGUACAUGAUCGCAAAAACUAAUAAAGAAUCCAGUAAGCUAAUUUGUAUGCUUUGCUUUCAUAAACACUUCUAAAGCAUGGGCUCCCAACAUAGAUAUGAAUCUUACACUCGAAAAUUUUACCCAAGUGCCAGGACAGAAUUUCUUAGCACAAUUUAUAGUGCUAGUAUGAGCUAACACACAGUUUGGCAGGAUCUAUGAUAGCAAGAUAUUCGCUCAAUCUCUUAAAACAUAUGGUAGCAAUAAAAAUGCACUUGUAGGCUCUUAUCUUUCCUUCAUAAUAUUUGCAAUCCAAUUUCCUUCCCGGAAAUUGCACAAGGAAAAUGACCUCCAUCAAUCCUCUCUCUCAGCAUACUAAAAAUCUAUUGCAUAGAAAUCUCAGAGGUAAGAAAAAGAGAAU